rnacentral:rRNA from 1 species
UACGUAGGGGGCAAGCGUUGUCCGGAUUUAUUGGGCGUAAAGAGCGUGUAGGCGGCCAGACAGGUCCGUUGUGAAAACUCGAGGCUCAACCUCGAGACGCCGAUGGAAACCGUCUGGCUAGAGUCCGGAAGAGGAGAGUGGAAUUCCUGGUGUAGCGGUGAAAUGCGUAGAUAUCUGGAGGAACACCGGUGGCGAAGGCGGCAUCCUGGACCGAUACUGACGCUGAGGAGCGAAAGCCAGGGGAGCAAACGGG